AUUGGUAAGUUUGAUAUACUCCAAACCAGCUAACUAGUGACUCAGAUUGAAAACUCUAUCCUCAAAUCUGUCAGUGUCUCAACAAUUUUCACCCUAAAUUCUUAUCUCUGCAAAAUUCCACCGACCCAUCUCUUUUUUCUCUCACCUGCACAAAAUUUUUACUUGGAAUUCUCACUUACAUUUGUUUUUUUACAUGCAUUUCACAAAUCAUACAUCCUGAAUUUCCAGAUUUUGAACCCAGUUUAAUCUACCAAGGUCAUGUUGUGAAUUUCCAGUAAAAUUUGGUGUUAUUCAAUGGCUGGAAUUUGCGGCGUUAUUCCUUUUUUGGGCGUUGGGCAAGUUUCAUCAUUUCCUAUUUUUGCUGUUCGAAGGUCUUGUCCAAACGCUUCCCAUCUAAAUUUAAAAGAUGUUGAUGAGAAUAGAUACUCUUCUGGGAUUGUCAAACAAGUAUCUAGAGAAAAAAUCUCUCAAAGAUGUCGUAGGGUAUCCGUCAAGUGUUAUCCUAACAAGAGUCGUGACCAAGAAAGGAAAGAUGUAUCUCAAGCUACCUUGAUAUGGAGAGCCAUAAAAUUACCAAUUUACUCUGUCGCAGCAGUUCCUCUUACUGUGGCCAGUGCUGCUGCUUACUUGCAAACAGGGCAAUUUUUGGUGAGGCGUUACCUUGUGCUUCUGAUAUCGUCCAUUUUUAUCAUCACGUGGCUUAAUUUAAGCAAUGAUGUGUAUGAUUUUGACACAGGAGCUGAUAAAAACAAGAAAGAAUCAGUUGUGAACAUUGUUGGAAGCCGGACAGGGACACUUGUUGCUGCCAAUUUGCUACUGGCUUUCGGUUUUGCGGGUCUGAUUUGGGUUGCUUCCGUGGCCGGAAAUGUGCGUUCAUUAUUGCUAUUGUUAUGUGCAGUCAUAUGUGGCUAUGUGUACCAGUGCCCACCUUUUCGGUUAAGUUACCAAGGAUUGGGUGAGCCAUUGUGCUUUGCUGCAUUUGGCCCCUUUGCUACUACAGCAUUCUAUAUGAUGCAGAUUACAUCACGCAACUUAAGCUACCCCUGUUCCCUAACGGGCACCAUACUUUCUGCAUCAAUACUUGUUGGUUGCACCACCACCUUAAUCUUAUUCUGUAGCCAUUUUCACCAGGUGGAAGGUGAUAGAGCAGUUGGUAAAUUUUCACCAUUGGUCCAAAUAGGCAAGAAAGCUGGAUCAGAAAUCGUCAAAAUUGCAAUAGUGGCACUAUACUGUGCCUUAUUUGUUCUAUCAAUUGGGAAAGCUCUUCCGCUGACUAGCACUGUUUUGUGUGCCUUAACUGUACCAAUCGGAAACAUGGUUGUAAGCUACGUGGAGAAGAAUUACCAUGAUAAUGAAAAGAUCUUCAUGGCAAAAUACUACUGUGUUCGAUUGCAUGCUUUGUUUGGAACAGCAUUGGCUGCUGGGCUGGUUGCAGCCAGAAGAUUUGGUAUUUACACUCCAAGACUUAUUUUUCUGUGAUACUUUGUUGGAGUUGGCAUAAGCCAUAAUGAGUAGAUAUUGUCGACUCUUUUCUGCUCAUCAGUAAGAACAGAUCCUUAGCUAUGCUAUCAGAGCAGUGGAAAUUCUUCCAAUGGAUAUUUACCGAAUGUAUAAGCUUCCGGCAGAUGUGUAAGGUGCUUCAUUCAUUGCUUAAUGGGCACUGGCUGAGUUGCAACUAAGGUGCCACUCUAUACAGGGCAUAUCCUUCUAUAUUUCUUUAUUAGGGUGCUUUCCUGUCGUUGGCGUCAACAAUAAUACAGGUUUUCUUUUUAAUUUUACAGCACUGUGUUUGUGACUGAAAAUAGGUAUACCAUGCAAAUCAACCUAAAAUUUGACCUAAGUAAAAGAAAUCAAUGAGUAGUUUCGCCUCAGAAUAACUUGAAUAGAGCUCUUUCUUGGCAUAUUUUCUAAUGCAAAAGAACUUUUGAGGACUUUGUAACUCAUGCAGAAGUAUUUAGAGCACCAAAACUUCAUUUCUGCUCAUCAA